GCAUACGUCCUACGGGAGAAAGCAGGGGACCUUCGGGCCUUGCGCUAUCAGAUGAGCCUAGGUCGGAUUAGCUAGUUGGUGAGGUAAUGGCUCACCAAGGCUACGAUCCGUAACUGGUCUGAGAGGAUGAUCAGUCACACUGGAACUGAGACACGGUCCAGACUCCUACGGGAGGCAGCAGUGGGGAAUAUUGGACAAUGGGCGAAAGCCUGAUCCAGCCAUGCCGCGUGUGUGAAGAAGGUCUUCGGAUUGUAAAGCACUUUAAGUUGGGAGGAAGGGCUGUUACCUAAUACGUGAUGGUUUUGACGUUACCGACAGAAUAAGCACCGGCUAACUCUGUGCCAGCAGCCGCGGUAAUACAGAGGGUGCAAGCGUUAAUCGGAAUUACUGGGCGUAAAGCGCGCGUAGGUGGUUCGUUAAGUUGGAUGUGAAAUCCCCGGGCUCAACCUGGGAACUGCAUUCAAAACUGUCGAGCUAGAGUAUGGUAGAGGGUGGUGGAAUUUCCUGUGUAGCGGUGAAAUGCGUAGAUAUAGGAAGGAACACCAGUGGCGAAGGCGACCAC
rnacentral:rRNA from 1 species